GCUGCGGCAUCCAGUUCUGCCUUCUCUGCAACAAUUUGCUGUCUUUUCUUAAGAAACUCUAUUUGUUUUACUGCGGCAGCUGCCUCGGCCCUAGCCUUUAUGACCAGACUAAGGGAUUGGCCAGAAGAACCACUAUGAACAGAAGUCCCUCUUGUUCUUUCUGUUCUAUGGGAUGUGUGAGAUGAUCUUGAUUUGCCUGCUAAUGUACACACAGACCUGUUUGACUUUGUAUCUGUGUCUUUACUAAACAUGUGUUGCACUUGUUCUUCAUCAACAGUUUCCAUAAGGGAGGCAGGGUCUUCUUCUGCCUGACCUUCUGAUAUUUUGUUAGAUAAAUCAUUCAUGAUGGUAUCAAAUUCUAGUUCCCUUCUCUCUCUCUCUGACAACAUUUCUUCCUUAUUACUUAAAGAUUCUGAUGUUUUCAUAUGUUCAAGCAAAGAGAUUAUAUUAUCUGAAUAUGUUAUCCACUCACAGUAUUGAUGUUGUAAUCUUUCCUUACAAUCUAAUAUUUCUUUCUGCUGCCUAAAGCGAUGGCUUGCUUGACUCAUAUCUAAAAUUCUCUGCCAUGACUUCUGAUAUUUAGGUUUCAAGGAAUCUAGUUUAUCUUGCCAGAAGGACAACAUUUUUGAGGUAGGUUUAGAUAUUCUGCUCUUUUGUGAGGAAGAAGCAGACAUCUUUAAGUCUUCUGAAGUUUGUGUCACUUUAUAUUAGACUGAAUUGCUUUUGGACAGAAAGGACUGAAUAGCCUAUUCUCCGUUACUUUGGAAUGUAGGUCUUUUAUUCUCCUGUUGCUGUCCGUUACUAAUAGUCCCUUAAAUAAAGUGAUCACUAACUUUUAAGAUUCUCAGUCCUUUUACUGAGACUUAAAGCUUUUUAGACUUAAAAAUAACUAUUGUGGUCCUGAAAGCCACAUUUUCCUCCGAAAGGGCUUCCCUCAGGUUCCUUCAAAAUGGCGCUGCCCUGUAUGACUGCACUCUCUCUACAGUCAAAAUGGCUGCUUAACUCCUUCUUCUUCUGAGGUAGUUUUCACUUCUCCUCAGGAAGCUUGAAGGAAAGAAAUUCACUUUUACUUGGGAAGGUCAAAGGAAAGAAAUUCACUGUUCUGCCUCCAUGCUUAAUUAAAUGAACUGGAAGGACUCAUAGCACGAAGGACAGAUUGGAGACUGUAGUUGUGAAACAAAAUAUUUUAUUAAUAGACAAAAUUGAUCUCUUUUCCUCUUGAUGCCACUAUGAAGUCUCUUGUGAGGAAAGAAAUCUUUGAGUCUAUGCAGUUCUGGAUAGAUAUUGCCACAGAGUAUAAAGUCUUGUUAUGACUGGAUUCUUUGUAUCUUUGAGAUGACUUCAAUGCAGUGUUGUUGACAUGGCUUUCUCUAUUGCUGUAGUCUAUGGCUUUUUAAUCUAAUUUGAAUACAGUUCCAACGUGA